rnacentral:rRNA from 1 species
UACGAAGGGGGGCUAGCGUUGUUCGGAAUUACUGGGCGUAAAGCGCACGUAGGCGGAUUGUUAAGUCGGGGGUGAAAUCCUGAGGCUCAACCUCAGAACUGCCUUCGAUACUGGCAAUCUCGAGUCCGGAAGAGGUUGGUGGAACAGCUAGUGUAGAGGUGAAAUUCGUAGAUAUUCGCAAGAACACCAGUGGCGAAGGCGGCUCACUGGCCCGGUACUGACGCUGAGGUGCGAAAGCGUGGGGAGCAAACAGG